rnacentral:rRNA from 1 species
GACGAACGCUGGCGGCGUGCUUAACACAUGCAAGUCGAACGGAAAGGCCCGGCUUUCACUGUUCUCGAGUUGGGAACGGGUGGGUAACUCGUGCGUGAUCUGCCCUGCACUUCGGCAUAAGCCUGUUAAACUGAGUGUAACACCGGCCGGGUACCAUAUUUAGCGUCAUGGUUGGAAAGUUUUUUCGGUGUUGGAUGAGCUCGCUACCUAUCUGCUUGUUGGUGUGGCAAUGGCCUACCAAGGCGGCGUCGGGUAGCCGGACUGAGAGGGUGGACGGCCACAUUGGGACUGAGGUACGGCCCAGACUCCUACGGGGGGGAGCAGAGGGGAAUAUUGACCAAUGGGCGCAAGCCUGAUGCAGAGGCGCCGCGUGGGGGAUGACGGCCUUAGGGUUGAAAACUACUUUCGCUAGUGACGAAGCUUUUUGUGACGGUACCUAGAUAAGAAGCACCGGCUAACUACGUG